rnacentral:misc_RNA from 1 species
UAGAAAUUCCACAGUAUUAUCUCUGUCCCAUAUCGCUCCAAAUCAUGAAAGAUCCUGUUACGACCAUAACAGGCAUCACCUACGACAGAGAAAGUAUCGAACAAUGGCUGAAGACUACAGCUGCAGGACGCAAUAAGGACUGCCCUACUUGCCCUGUGACGAAGCAGCCUUUGCCACGGGACUCUGAUUUGACCCCAAAUCACAUGUUAAGAAGAUUAAUUCAAGCAUGG